rnacentral:lncRNA from 1 species
AAAUAGUUGAUUACAAAUUGCUCUUUAGUGAAGACCCUGCAGAGCCUCUGCUUAGCAGCUGAUGCUACGUACUUAAAUAUAUUAAAAUGACUUUUACAGUAAAUAAAGGAAUUAUUUAACAUAUUACAUGACACUUUAUGAUGUAUUCACUGUGACUUAUUAUAUGUAUUUCUCUCUGAUUAAUUCAAUGUAGAAUAGUUUCACUAAGCUCUUCAGUAGAAGAGAUCGCUUCCUAAACAUGCAGCAUGUUUCAGUCAUGUGUGAAGCAGCUUUGGCUUUUUUAGAUUAAUUAGGGAAAGAUGUGAUUACAAUAGUCAUAGUUGUAGCUGCAUUUAUGCAUGUACAUAAAUGCAUUUACUCAGUUUAUGUUUUGACAAGUAAAUCAAAUGUUUACUAAAAAUAGAAACUUCAAAAAUUAUUAUUCAUGAUGUUUUCAUAAUUCUCUAGUUUGAAGACACAAUACUGGAUUGGUGGCACAAUAUUCAUUUAGAUGUGAGGCACUGGUCUGGUUGAAAAGUCAGUUGAUAUUGACAUGCCAUGUUGCCCAGGCAGGUAGGUCGAGUCUACGGGAGAAGGUAAGUGGCCGCCGUGGGAAGAUUCUAGUCUGCUCAACUCAUGGGCCAACUCCCCAACCCAUAUGACAUGUUUUACUGGCAUUUCUUUCGAAAUUUAUUACAGUUACUGCAUAACUCAAAUUUUUAUUUUUCCUUUUUGUAAGCCAUUGUUGGUUCUUACGGUGGCAUAUUGGUUUCAUAUACUUUAGAAGUCCCAGGGUUAUUUAAGAAUCACUGUCCUUGAUUGUAGGUAUUGGUAAAAGCACAAUUAUGUAUUCUAAUUAGUUACUCUUGAUAGUUACUCCUACUAAUGAGAGCUUCUCAUUUAUCUCAGAAUUUCCAAAGUCAAAGUCCUGAUUUUUAGUGUCUACCCUCCCAGUGUUUACAUGUUUUAACUAUAGGAUAACUUGGUGAUUUUGGACUAUUUUCUGUGGCAAUUUAUUUCAGCUCUGUAAGAAAUGAAUUUUUGAUCAUUGAUAAGAACUAAAAUCUAGUCAAACAGUUCUGCUAGUAAUCAGUUCGACUUAAAAACAAACUGACAAAAGAACAGGCAAAUUCUGGUCUAAUCUCUCUGAGCACCAUACCGUGGUAUGUGCUCUCUUCUUCUUUUAACUUAAAAGAUACAGCCCCGAGCAGUUGGGAAUGCGAUCUAGUUUUGUUGCUUUGCAGGACACCUAGGUACAGUGUCCCGUGUGGUGUUGUGUGAUAUUUUGCUGGCGAUGAACCUUUACCGGUGGAGGUAAAGUGAAGGGUCCCCCCUCCUGGGUGUCCUGCUUACAGCUUCACAUGCAAGUCUGGGGUUUUACAUUUGGGAACAUAUGUUGAGUCAUAGAAUAAGCCCCUCCACUAAAUUUUUCUCGCUGCCACUGACCUCUAAGCCACGCAGGAAAUCCCUUUGUAAGCAAAUUCCCAUCCUCAGCCCUUUGGCUGUUUAGUCUGUGCAGGGCUAGGCCUGGCUUACUUGCUCCUUUGAUUGGCAAGCCCCAUACUAGAAACAACAAAUGGACAGAGUGGCCUCCCGAUCUGAAGACUCUUUCAGCUUUAUUUGGACUGGAACUUGAUGAGAGGUUCACUAGGCAGGAAACAUGCCCCUCCUCCCAAAAAUGCCACUGACAGGGACAGAGUUUCUCACAGACUUGGCGGCGAGCUGCAGGGACCUGAGCUACUCCAUGGCUUGGGAAUUUUAACUCUUGUCAAAGAAGGAAAUAGCCUAAAACCAUUUGUUUUCACUGAAGAUGCAGCUAAUUGUUUGAUUAAAAACUAUGGUUCUAAUGGGAUGUGAAAUCAGUGAGUCAGAUGAGCAGUAACUACAUUAUAGAAACCUGUAUGAAGGGAAUGAAAAAUUGUUUUAACAGUGCCCA